UAUUCUAAACAUUUGCUAACUUUUCUGCAUUGCUAAUAUAUUUACUCAAUUUUUUUAAAUUAGUUUACUGUUCUGACCUCCCAAUCAUCAUCUGCAAGCCAAAGAAGAUUUUUUCUCCUUAUUACUUUCCAGUUAUCUUGUUUGCCCUUCCAAUCAACUGCAAUCCGCUGAUUAGGACUCCUCAUUAUUUGGUUUUGCGGAAAAGAAACUUGAUCCACAAUGAAUCCACAACAAAGAAUAUGAAAACCAUCUUGAUCCUACAUAACAUAAUCUGAUGCGGACACAUGGAUGACUCUGUAUCCCUCUGUCUUCAGUUCCUUCACCCUGGCUCGCAAGACCGUUUGUGACAUAUCUAAAAAUGAAGUAAAACAGGCAACUUUGUCUACAUGUGUGUUUCCAGAGCUCUGGUCCUCUACAUAAAACAAAUAUAUUUGUAUGCUACAUGCCAGC